rnacentral:misc_RNA from 1 species
GUUACAUUAACGUACUCAUUUCCAGCCUUCUUCAUCGUUAUCUGCAUAUUUUUCGGUGAGCAUCCCCACUCCAAUAGAUAGUAAAGCGUUCUGACGACUUUUUCAAUUCAUCGUUAACAUAUUUGAGUUCUGAAACUGUAUCUGCAUGUUUUGCUUUAGCAAUCUCAAGUUGUGCCUUUGCUACAAUGCUAAUCUCACCAGUAAUCCCUUGUUUCAAUUUUUUUAUCCUUAGCUUGAUGCUCUUCAGCCUAUAUUCUUUUCCGAUUAGAAUUCGGGUGACCUUUUGUCUCUCAAAUCUCCUCCAUUUGACUGCCAAAUGGCAAGUUGUUAGUGUUGCUGUGUUCAUUGGGAGGUAGGAAGGACUUGGAAAGCGGGUCUUGGUGGUUUUGGUGGCGUCGGCGAGGGCUGGGAAGACUAUUAUGUAAGUUUGCAAUUUUUAAUAAUUCAAAGUUACUAUUUUAUCCUAAAAUCAUUUAAUUGAUGAC